UUCUCAGUGUUGGGUAGUUUUUUUGAGUAACCCAACGCUGGGCUACCGGUUGGGUCCAAUCGAGUGACAGUUCAGAGAGUAAACCCCUCCCCCUCCUUCACGCCUCAGACAACCUCUACCUUCGCGGACCGGGCAUUUUAAAUCACCUCAGACAGGAACAAGCGUCUUUCAGUGAGGACAGCUGUAUAUUCACAGAAAAAAGCACCCAGACGCUUACGCUCUCCUUGUGCCUGCCGUUGCUAAGCACCCAUGGGCCGCGCAUGUUGUGAAGACGAAGAGGUUUCAACAAAGGAUAUACUGUUGGGAUCAACAUGGUUAAAUACUUUAAGAAAGCUGAGCUUGCAAAACCCUUCGCUUUUGUCCUUGGUCUUGGGGAUGACAGUCAGUGCCAUCAAGCCUUUCCCUGUGUUCCAUACUGAAGUGAUCAUCCCUAUGCCCUACUCCCUUUGAAGAGUAAAGCUCUUGAUGUGUAAACUCUGGAAGGAACAACACAAUUGUAUCUACUAAUGUGUCUAAAAUUGACUUGGCAAAAAGAUCAAUAAAAACAAUGUCAUUUUCUCUUUAUUUGGAGUGACAUUUUGUGGGGUGUCCCCUUCAAAGGGCAAUAUAUCCCGUUUGGAACUCACCAAUAGUUGUUGUUGGCAAACAUGUACUAUAGCAAAAUGCACUCCUUGGUAUACAUAAAGCAUUUUACUGUGCCACUUUGAUAACUUUAUUUAAUGUAUAUGUUAAAAUCAAAGCUAAUGUAAUUUAUUGAUGUUUUUUAAAUAUUUAUAAACAGAAAUUGUAAUGAAAUGCUGUUUUAUUGUUCAUUGAGCAUUAAAAAUAGCAUGCUUUUUAUGAAUUCCUGUAACGGUUUCAGCACCACCGGCCACGCCCCCCAUGUCGUCACCGCCAGCUCGCUUCACCCAUUCCCUCUCCCCGGAGUUCUGAACUCAGUUUCCCAGCAUGCACCGCACAUCCACCAUUUUUGAUUAGUCCACACCUGCAUCACAUCAUCAGGAUUCUAUUUAAGUUUGCACCUUUUUGUUCUUCCAUGUUCAGUCUUGUUGUCUUCACUGCAAUUCUUUACCCCGAUAAGAAUACUUACCUGUUUUUGAAAUACUUACCUGUUUUUGGAAUACUUACCUGUUUUUGGAUAUUCCUGUUUUUGAAAUACUUACCUGUUUUUGGAUAUUCCUGUUUUUGAAAUACUUACCUGUUUUUGGAUAUUCCUGUUUUUUGAAAUACUUACCUGUUUUUGGAUAUUCCAGUUUUUGAAAUACUUACCUGUUUUUGGAUAUUCCCGUUUUUGAAAUACUUACCUGUUUUUGGAUAUUCCAGUUUUUGAAAUAAACUCCUUUUUCUUAUCUACCUCCGUGGUGUGCUC